rnacentral:lncRNA from 1 species
GUUAAGGAUUAAAUAAACAUUUGGAUCAUUGAUAUUAGGGCAAAUUAUAACAACCUCCCUAAGUUAUGGCUAAAUACAACAAACCUCCCUUCUAUUUUCAAAACCAUCAUACACCUCCCCUCUGUUACAUUAUGUUAACUCUCCGUUAGAAUUUAGAAAUCAGCAUAGUUAGGUCAUGCGACCUUUGCGUUUCCUCUCUCUCAAAACUGUGAAAAAUCAUGGGAUUACUACUGAUCAUCCUCCUUCUCUCCAUAGUUGUUCAUCGUCACUCUCACUUGUAUCUCUGAUCAUGCUUCUUUCAUCACUCACUACCAACCACUGUUUUUGUGCCUUCUCUCUAUCGCUGUCAUCGUCGCUCUCGAGAGUAAUUGCGGCAUCGUUCUUUCUGGUUUCUAGUGUGUUGUUUUCAUUCACCAUUAUUUUUUAUGUUUGCUGUUCUAGUUAAUAUGAUUUGUUGGUAACAUGGUUUAGACUCUAGUUUUCUUGUACAUUAUUCCUAGGAAAUCCAGUGGUUAGCAGAUUUUACAUAAUAAUAAAGUAAAACCUGUCUGGUGUAUUAACCAAAAAAAGAAAACUGUCUGGUGUAAAAAUUCAAUCACAGGCACCAAAUCAAGAAAUUUAUAAUUCUAUAGAUUUUAGUCUCUUACCUCCUUGAUGCCAAUAUAUAGUGAUAACCUUUUCUUUCAAGUCAUUAAGAGGUGUUUCCAUUUGGUUGAUUAAAUUUAAAGCUUAAGUUUAAGUUGGUGAGUGAAGGACCAUGAAUGAUUUUAAAGACAAUGCACACGCUAUCUUACCUGUAAACUAAUAUUAUUUGCUCAAAUUUCAUGUACUGUCACGUGAAUUUUUUAGACCUCCAAUGUUUACAAGAAUGAGAAUUAUUUUCUUGCAAAAAACUGG